GGUCUUUGCUUUUUGGUUCGAACUUCUCUCUCAAGUUUCUUAUUCAGUUGUCUACUUGUCUUGACUCUUCGAAUUUUCUUUCUUGCUAUUAGCUGUUUUGCUUUUUUCAGUUGUCUCUCUGUUCAUUUCUGGCUUUUAAUUCUGUGAUUGAGUUGUGGAAAAAAUUGCAACAUAUUUCUUACUUUGUCUCUCUUUGUUGGCAAUCGCCAGUGUGAUAUAUUAAUUUCUACUGACGUGCUAUGCUAACAAGGCUUUGAAAAGCCUAAGAAAUUUUGCUUAUUAUUGUGGUGUGGUGUCUUCCCUUUUGUGCUUAUAGGAUAAUAUUUCCAACUGUGGGAUUUGAUUGAUACAGAGUUGUUAAGAUGGCAAAUGAUGCGGCUUCGUUCGUGUGCGUGUCGAAAGAGCUACAAUUACAAAUGAUAUGAUGAUUGGGCUAUUAAGUUUGAAUUGUGUGAUAUUCUUAUAUAUCAACAUGAUGGAUCUUCCUAGUCAAGCAAAAGAGGCUGUGAAGGUGCUCAAGAAACGGUUAGGAAGCAAAAAACUCUUAAGUCCAGAAUCUUGCACUUUAUGCAUUGGAAACAUUUGAGUAAGAAUUUGUGGCGAAAACGUGUACCAGCUUAUCAUUUAAUCGUGAUAUUUUGAUUGACAUGGUCAAAAUCGUGAAGAAGAAGAAGGUUUUGUAAUAUUUCACCUCACCUGCCUUUUUUAAUAUCUCAAUUUCUCUCCAUUGGCUUGUCUAAAUUUCCGAACAUAAUAAUAAUUUCGCAGCCGGACAGGAA